UCAAAGACCAUGGCCACACUAAUAUCCGCUGGUGUGGUUAUUAUGCAAUGAAAACUACAAAUACAUAUGGACCAAAAGCCUACUAAAACUUGAAGAAAAUAAUAAAUUAAAGAAAUUCCAAGCUUUAUCAUAAACAGCUGUAACUUAAAUCUUAAAUCCCUUGGACACACUUUACAGGAGGAAGUCAAUGGGAUGAAGCCAGAGCAGAAGAUGACUGAGCAGAAAUUAACAAAGUACAUCAGUCCCAGCAUGUCCUUGAGGAGUACCUGGAACAACUAAUCUCGGGAGUCUGUGCUUCCUCUAGAGUACCAGUCAUUUGGAAAGUUAUGUGUGUUACCCUUGACGCUGGAUGAUUGCAACAGUAAGUGGCAACUGGGAUAUUUCUCCAGAGCUUCUACAACGACAAAUUGAGAGUUUCACAAGCACCUGGGGCCCAGCAGAGGUUGGGAAGCCUAUUCUGGGACUUGCCUCCAUCUAAAUGAUUUGAAAAUUCAGCUCCUGAACACAGCCAGAUUGCCGUCAGCAAUUCGAAUAAGUUUUAACAACACUGGA